CCGACCGCCUCAUGAACGCCUCGAUUUCAGCCAUACGCUGCUGGAGGGCCUCACGUUCUGCUUGUUCGGCCAGAAGGCGCUCUUCAAGCGUGGAGAUCCGUGUCUCAUACAUCUGCUGAGACAUCAUGGAAGUGCAUGUGCUUUGAGAAGACCCCCUACUAACCUGGCUCCUACCGGCACUUCCAGUGCUGUAGAGCCGGGACCUGUCGGGCCGUACGACCUCCAAGUAGAUCUCAGGCAGCCGAUCCUCUCGCCCAGUCUCAACAGCAAUGCGACGAAUCUCCGCCUAAUUCAGACAUAACAAUUGAAAAUUAAAAGAUCCAUCCUCGCGCAUGUGGAGGCGGAGGAAAGUGCUAUAGUUCUGUGCAGUCAGGGGGAGUCCAGUGUCCAAGCUCUGUCCAUGCAUGCAUAUAAGAUAAACAAGACACGAGUGGACCGAGACCCUCCCACGUGCCUGCUGAUCCCAGUACCGGGUCCAUCGGGCUCAGACAUCCGGUUCGCACGUGCUCGCUCGGAAACGGCCUGAACAGCCUCCUGACUCCAGUAUGCCUUGAGUCCUGUCCAGAAUUCGGCAGACAUCCAGACGGGUCUAUCCAUCUCCCGACCCCUGCAUCGGUAUGAGCCCUGAGCUUCCUCUUGUAGUCGCUCAUCAUGUCACUGUACCUCUUGCUGGCUUUAAACUCCCACAUGGCCCUGACCUCAAGCUCGUCCGCAGGCGACCAAGAAAACUCUUUCUGUUGAAUGAAAUAGUUAAUUUAAUAUAUAACAUUUUACAAUAGAUUAUCAA